rnacentral:lncRNA from 1 species
AUGGGAUCUCUGAUCUCCGUCACCCACUUGCCCCACACCCGCAUUCGCACGCCCUUGUAGGGUGCGGCAUUGGGGAGCGAAGGGAGGGCGUGGUGGCAGUUGUGUCCGUGAAGGGAAGAAGAGGCAGACGUCUUGGCAAUGGAGGAGGGGGAGAAUCGUUUCAGGGACCCGAGCAGGUAUCCUCCUCGUCUCACCUGAAUGGCUUUCAGUUUCCUCUUCUCCACCAUAUCCAAUUAUACUAGUGGAUUUGCUCUCUCUGACGAAAUUAGUCUAACGCUGGCUGUUAAACUGAUCUCAGUUCUUGGAAUCUGCUGAUCCAACUUCAACACCUCACAAUGUUCUUGGAAUGUCCCAAUGCAAGAAUGUAGACCUCCGUUCUUCUGCUGCGUCACUGAAACACUUUGAAUUUUAAAACAGAGUCUGUGAUUCGUCGGUGUUGCAGCAGCGAGCUUCUUGAGCUGCAUCAAUUCCAACCCUAUAUUUCUUGGACGCAAGCACUUGACUCAUAACCCACUCUUCUUCGUACAAGCUCGCCGUCGAAGAGAUAAAUACCCACACUUACAUACCACAUACUCCUCAACAGCGUCAAAAUCAAGAGCACUCAACUCCCACUCUCUCAAAGUCUUGACAACAAUCUUCAAAAAUUGACUCUACUUUGAGCAAUGAUCGAAGCAAUCUCAAAGAAUUUCACCAGAACCCCACGGUACACUUUCCAAUUGAGGGAUGAAAGGCCACAAAAUCUGCGAAUUAUUUGUGCUGGUGCGGUAGGGAUUGUGAGACAUGGGGUUUUUUAAAGAGGGAGGCAGGAGAGAUUCCAUCGAGAGUGAACGCGACUGCGCAAGUCCACGUGCCGGCCUGGCGACACCCGAAGUUGGAAGGUAACCCUGGACGCGCCAUGAGCGUCCUGGCACCUGGUAAAACCCAAUGCUAAGAAAUGCACUGUUCACGAAAAAUACUGAGCACAUGUUUCUCAGGCACCCAAAAUACCUGCUCCUGCUGCAGUUGCUGCUGUAGGCCCCGCGACGCGACGCCAUGGCAUAACGCAGGCGACUUAUUCCAUCUUUUCACCGAGGCGUUCUCACUCACGUACCCACCCCGCGAUGCGUUUCCACAUCUAACUUUACUGCCCUCCGUUGCGCCACUCGAUUCUUCUCGCUUCUUCUGCCACACUCUGGAACUACUCCCUCCAGCAUAUUCCCCAGUGGACCCCGACACGCCGCGCGUGGUGGCGCGCGUGCGGGCGGGCUCGGCGCCGCGACCCCCGCCCCUCAAGUGUCCAAACCCUAAAUUUCGUCCUUUGCCUUCCAUCCCCUGCUUGUACCUCAUCCAAUACUCGCUCUUGGUUAUGGUCUUUUAUUUUUAUAUUACAACUUUAAACUUACAAUGUAUUAUUUGUUUUAUUACAAAUUAAAACUUACAAUCUUUAAAUUAAUAUCAUAAAAUUAUUUAUUUAUUUAAUAUAUUUAAUCAAAUAUAUAUAUGAAACGUAUUAAUAAGAUUUUUUUAAUAUUUUAAAUAUUGUAAAUUUUAAGUUAUAAUAUCUUUCUUAAAAUUCAAGUAUCUAAUAUAUAUAUACAUAUAUAUAUAUAUAUAUAUAAUAGUUAAAUCCACAUCUUCCAAACUCAUGAUUAAUUUUGGGGGACAUGGAAUAAAAGAUGGAGAUAUGGAAUAAAGCAUGGAGGUUAGGAAUAGAAGACAAGAGACAUGGAAUAAAGGAUAGAGAUGGAAAUGGACAAAAUUGAUCAUGAAAUGGAAAUGUGUGGCUUUAACAACAAUGGGGUGUGGCUUUAACAACAAUGGGGUGUUGCUUUAACAACUCCUUAUUAUAUAUAUAUAUAUAUAUAUAUAUAUAUACUUUAUAGACUUUAAUUAUGCAAUUAUCUUUAAAGAAUAAAAAAAUAUAUAUUUAGAACCAAAAAGAUCUUCAAAGCUAAAAUUGAUAUGAUUAUGUAUAAAAAAAAUAGUACUUGAGGUUAAUGUGAAUUAGAUUUCUUUUCAAGACUAUAUAAACAUAAUACAAAAAUAAUAAGAAUAUUAGUAUAAUCAUUGUAAAAUUAUAUAUAUAUAUAUAUAUAUAUAUAUACACAUAUAGGUUGAGUUUAUUUGUAUGCAUCUAUUCAUAAAAGCCAUCUAUUUAUACAUAUAUCUAUACAUGUAUGUGCAAAAUAAUUUAUAAUUUAAAUAAGUAAUUUUGGCACCAUUAAUACUAAUGACACUUCUCACCAUUAAAAUUUUAAAUUUCUUAUCUUAAAAAUAAUAAUUGUAUAUAUAAAAAUAACUAUAAUUAUAUAUACUUAUAUAUUUUAAUAAUAUUGAUUCAAAAAAGAGUUUAUAUAAUUAUUAUUAAAAUUAUAAAGUUUAAAUGAUGUUUUUAAAAUAAAAAACUUAUUUCGUAACAUCUUAUGUGUUGGUAUUUUUUAAAAUAUAAUAGAAUAUAAUAAAUAAUAUAAUUUAGAAUUUACUUUUUUAUAUAUUUUGAAUAAAAUAGGGUGUAUUUAUUUGCUUGCAAUUUAAAUAUCACUAUUUUUUCUUAACAUGGUUGUUGCAUAUCUUAUAUCUUAUUGUAAGAUCUUUUGUUUAUAUAGGAGAUUUAGAUUUUAAAAGAUGAGAGGAAUAAAGAUAUUAGUACUUGCUAAUAAAGUUUCUUUUUCUUUGAUUCUAAGUUUUAGAUUAGCAAAAUCCUCACAUCACUGAAGAUGCAUUCUCGAAAUGAUUUAUUUACUAUAGUCAUUAUUUUAUACUAAUAAAUAUUGCUAUAUUCAAUUAUUUUAUCUCAAUUGAUUUCUUUGAGAGGAUUUAUUGUUCUUGUCUAAGGAUCAUGUAAAGUUUUUGCUUCUUAAUUGUCUACAAGCUUGUUCUAGCCAUGAAGAGACUUAACUUCAGAUUUAAAUUUUUUCCAAAAAAAAAAGUUUUAUAUUGAAGAUUAGCUUUAGGCAUCACAAGGACCAUUGUUUAUUGAAUUUGUCCAAAACAAUGGUUUCUGUUCCAAUGCCCAUUGGUCAAUUAAGAAAAGUUGAAAUAUUUUUUAUUCUGAAUAUUCUACAAAGUUAAAUUAAAAGAUGUGUAUUGUAGUUGGAUACUUAUGUUUAACUCAUGUUGUGGCUUAAUUAAAUUCUAUAAGAUAUAAAUUAUUUAUAGUUUACUAAACCAUUUGAAUCUAAUGUCUAGUUUAAGAUAUAUAUCAUAUUCUUCUACUUAUUGUUAGAUGUCACACAAUUGCAUGGUGUACCGUAUAUAUAUAUAUAUAUAUAUAUAGUUACUUAAAUGUAUUGAUAUGUAAGAUCCAAUAGUAACGUAAAAUAAAAGACAUGUAUUUAUUAACUAUUUAGAUCUAAAGAAAAUAUUUGGCAUUUGAGCAAGAAAUGAAGAGUGAAUCCAAAAUAAAUAUAGAAUUUUUUUAAGAAAAAAAAAAGAAAAAUAUAUAAUUAACAAAGAAUUGUUGAUAUUUUUUAAUGAAUGGGACAAUAUGUUGAAAUUAAGAAGAAUUUUAGCACUUAGAAAUGGCAUGACUAUUACUUAGAACAUAAAAGUUUCCCAGAAUGGGUUAGGAAAUCACAAAUUGGAUAAGGAAUGAAGGAUUCACUGAAUUGGUGCACCCCUGUACAUGUUACCGAAAUGUUAACAAAAUAAAUAGAUAAAAUUAAAACAAGGAGUUGGACGACGAAGGAGGGCGCGCCACGUGUCAUUCCGUGGUAAUCCCCGGGUCUAGAGAUUGGGAACAAUGUGCCAUGUCAGAGGAUAUAGAACCACCCAGUUUCUUGACAAAAAAUAAUAAAAUAAUAAAAUAAAUAAAUCCCACAUGCAUUAAUUCCACUCUUCGUACUUGCAACAUUCUGUUCUCUUUCUAUUCUCAUCAGAUUCAUUCCUCAGUUGUUGUUGCUGCUGUUGUUGAUGCAUCCGGAAUGACGUCUUGGCAGUUGGGAUUUAACUGGCUUGCCGGACCAAUAAUAGUACUCUCGUCCCAGGAAGUCUCUUCUUUUGCCUUGAACUGCGUCAACCGUGACGACGUGGUCAGAAACGCCAUAGUUGGCGAGUACCGUCGUCAUCAACGGCGGCAUGAUGCGUACAUCUCCCCCAUAUUCACCGCAGACAUGAGGACCCCACAUUGUUUCUGACAACAGUUCAGCUCGCAAAACUUGAGGGUUAAGGGAAUGGUACUCCUACGCUCGCAUUGGAGAUGUGUUAGAGCCCAGGAUGUCUUGUUUUGUAUUUUCACUUCUUUAAUUUACGCAACGAGUAGACGCUGAUUGUGUCAAAAGAAAAUGGAAAAGAAAAGCCUUGUUCGGGAUUGUGCCCUGAAUCAUUUAAUUGUAAAGUGAUGUGACAGUGUUCUUACUUCCGAGACUUAUUGCAUGAUAACCAGUGCCGCCGCCAUGCUGGACGAUGAGGAGAAUUAACUAUGUUGUGGAACAUUUUAUAAAGUCCGAAUUCAGAAUUUUGGGCUGGUUGACUGCGAGUGCACUGUGCUCUGCCAUAACGAAUGUUCCUACAGCUUAGUCUGAGUUGACGUUCCAAAAAUAUUGUGGCCGAAAUUCUGCUGUUCAAGAAUUGGUGACAUUCCAGAAUAAGGUGAGAAUAGAAUUUCUGAAUGCGUCUCACAGAAUGAAUUCGGUGCCCUCGAUCUCCAUGUCGAGGUCAGUAAGCACUGUUGCUGUUAAACGUCGUGUGUCGAACAGAAUUAGAUAGUCGAGCAACCGUCAGUUACAGAUUGCAGCAUUUUCACCGCUGCCUUCAGAGGCUUUCUCUACAGAAGUGUUUAAGUUAAACCUCAGAAUGCGGUGCUUGGCCGAGCGAUGUUUGACGCCUCAGGUAAACGACCACAACUUCACAUCAUAAACCAGCGACUCGUCUGCCUCAUCGGACGAAGGCCACACACACUCCGAUGCUUGCUCCACUCCGCUGUACCCUCCCAACGCUCCCGCCGUGUCUUCGUCGUUCCCUCCUUUCAUCAGCUCUUGCAACAGAUCCUCGCUCGGCUCCCUCUCCACCGGAUCCAUCUCUCCGAACUCCUUCUUUAUCCACUCCUCCAAAUCUGCCUCGCUGCUGCGCUGCUUCACGUCGGGCAUGUCAUGAUUCUCCCCCUCCGCGUCGUUCCCAUGUGCGUGCUCCACGUCCAUGCAUUUGGACGAUGCGGAGCCCACGACGUCCACCUCCGAUUCCUGGCGAGCACCCCCUGAUGCGGCUUGGAUGGGUGCGGGAGCACCCGGCUGGAUGGAGCCCGUGGCAGCUGCCAGAGCGACGGCUUGAAUCUCCUUGGGAGAGGACGUGGACUGGGGGAUCAAGAACGGCGGAAUGGCGUCGGGGAAGUUCAGCUCCGGAGCCGACGCUCCCUUGAGGCACACAACGGCGGCAUCGUACGCUCGGGCGGCCAUUUCCGCGGUGGCGAAGGAUCCCAACCAUAUCCGCGUCUUGGUGAUGGGAUCUCUGAUCUCCGUCACCCACUUGCCCCACACCCG